UACGUAGGGUGCGAGCGUUAAUCGGAAUUACUGGGCGUAAAGCGUGCGUAGGCGGUUGGCAAAGUCAGCUGUGAAAGCCCCGGGCUCAACCUGGGAAUGGCCGUUGAAACUGGCGAACUGGAGUGUGGCAGAGGGGGGUGGAAUUCCGCGUGUAGCAGUGAAAUGCGUAGAGAUGCGGAGGAACACCGAUGGCGAAGGCAGCCCCCUGGGCUGACACUGACGCUCAGGCACGAAAGCGUGGGGAGCAAACAGG
rnacentral:rRNA from 1 species